rnacentral:rRNA from 1 species
CAAUAGCGUAUAUUAAAGUUGUUGCGGUUAAAAAGCUCGUAGUUGGAGUUCUGCCAGGUGCCGUCUGUCCGCCCCAGUGGUGAGUACGUGACGCGCAUUUGGCCCUUUCAAGGGGAGCGUAUCUGCACUUUACUGUGUGGUGCGGGAUCCUUGACUUUUACUUUGAGGAAAUAGGAGUGUUCCAAGCAGGCUCUCGUCGUGCACAGCUCAGCAUGGAAUAAUAGCAUUGGACCUCGAUUCUAAGCUGUUGGUUGCCAGAAGCGAGGUAAUGAUGAAGAGGGAUAGUUGGGGGCAUUCGUAUUUAACUGUCAGAGGUGAAAUUCUUGGAUUUGUUAAAGACGGACUACUGCGAAGGCAUCUGCCAUGGAUGUUUUCAUUGA